rnacentral:rRNA from 1 species
GAUGAACGCUGGCGGCGUGCCUAACACAUGCAAGUCGAACGGAGUCCAGCCUUUAAGACCUUCGGGUCAAAGAGGGGAAGACUGAGUGGCGGACGGGUGAGUAACACGUGGGCAACCUGGCUCAUAGAGGGGGAUAACAGAGAGAAAUUUCUGCUAAUACCGCAUAAGCACACACUGCCGCAUAGCAGAGGGGGAAAAGAGAAUCGCUAUGAGAUGGACCCGCGUCUGAUUAGCCAGUUGGCAGGGUAAGAGCCUACCAAAGCGACGAUCAGUAGCCGAUCUGAGAGGAUGAACGGCCACAUUGGGACUGAGACACAGCCCAAACUCCUACGGGAGGCAGCAGUGGGUGAUAUUGCACAAUGGGGGGCACGCUGAUGCAGCGACGCCGCGUGAGUGAAGAAGUAUGUCGGUAUGUCAAGCUCUAUCAGCAGGGAAGAUAAUGACAGUACCUGAAGAAGAAGCCCCGGCUAACUACGUG